UAGUCAUAUGCUUGUCUUAAAGAUUAAGCCAUGCAUGUCUAAGUGUAAGUAAUGCACAGCGAAACUGCGAAUGGCUCAUUAAAUCAGUUAUAGUUUACUUGGUUGUUGCUUUUACUACUUGGAUAACCGUAGUAAUUCUAGAGCUAAUACAUGCGAAAAAAUCCUGACUCCUCGGGGAAGGGAUGCACUUAUUAGAUACCAAACUGACCGGGGCAACCCGUCGUCGGUGAUUCAUGAUAAGCAAGCUAACCGUAUGGGCUCGUCCCGACGGUAGGCCAACCAAGUUUCUGCCCUAUCAACUUUCGAUGGUAGUGUAUUGGACUACCAUGGUGAUAACGGGUAACGGGGAAUUAGGGUUCGGUUCCGGAGAGGGAGCCUGAGAGAUGGCUACCACUUCCAAGGAAGGCAGCAGGCGCGCAAAUUACCCAAUCCCAAUACGGGGAGGUAGUGACAAUAAAUAACGAUGCAGGUCUCCUUACGGGGACUUGCAAUCGGAAUGAGUACAAUUUAAAAAGCUUAACAAGGAACAAUUG
rnacentral:rRNA from 1 species